rnacentral:lncRNA from 1 species
UCCAAAGAGAAGCGUAUCAUUUGGAAGAUAGACGUUGACCGUCUUGCAUUUGUGAGACAUUGAGGGUUCUUUCCCCCCUUAUAGAGUCUCAUAGCAUCCGAGUUCCGGUCUUGGCAGCCUGCUUUGUUAUCUUUAUGUCCCCGAACGUCCAUUUUUAUUGAACUUUUAUUGUCGAUAGAUGUAGUUUGAACUUGGAAAUUUUGCGGCAGAUUUAAG